CCUACGGGAGGCAGCAGUGGGGAAUAUUGCACAAUGGGCGCAAGCCUGAUGCAGCCAUGCCGCGUGUGUGAAGAAGGCCUUCGGGUUGUAAAGCACUUUCAGCGGGGAGGAAGGCGGUGAGGUUAAUAACCUCAUCGAUUGACGUUACCCGCAGAAGAAGCACCGGCUAACUCCGUGCCAGCAGCCGCGGUAAUACGGAGGGUGCAAGCGUUAAUCGGAAUUACUGGGCGUAAAGCGCACGCAGGCGGUCUGUCAAGUCGGAUGUGAAAUCCCCGGGCUCAACCUGGGAACUGCAUUCGAAACUGGCAGGCUAGAGUCUUGUAGAGGGGGGUAGAAUUCCAGGUGUAGCGGUGAAAUGCGUAGAGAUCUGGAGGAGUACCGGUGGCGAAGGCGGCCCCCUGGACAAAGACUGACGCUCAGGUGCGAAAGCGUGGGGAGCAAACAGGAUUAGAUACCCCUGUAGUC
rnacentral:rRNA from 1 species